rnacentral:rRNA from 1 species
UACAGAGGGUGCGAGCGUUAAUCGGAAUUACUGGGCGUAAAGCGCGCGUAGGCGGCUUUGCAAGUCGGGUGUGAAAUCCCCAGGCUUAACCUGGGAACUGCAUUCGAGACUGCAUUGCUAGAGUAUGGGAGAGGGAAGUGGAAUUUCCGGUGUAGCGGUGAAAUGCGUAGAUAUCGUCUGGAACGCCAAAGGUGAAAACAGACUGCUGGGAGUGUGCUGACGCUGAGACACGAAAGCCAGGGGAGCAAACGGG